CACAUCUCCGUGCCCGUGAGAAAAGAAAGAGAAAAAUCCCUGGCUCUCCAGUUUCCCGAGCAAACGCAUUUCUUUGAACCGCCGCCUUGCACUGUCAAGAAUUCCCAGGACAUGGGAAGACUCCACGCCUUUCUGAAGGUGGUCAUUUGACGCAGUGACACAGUGAAAGUCACCGAAGGGACAGGCACAGAUGAAGAAGCUGAGGCAAGAAAAGGAAAGUAGCUUGUCCAAGUUCAUACAAUUAAUAAAUGGCAGCAACAAGAUUUGAACCCAGGAAAUACUACUUCCGAGACUCUGUAACUUGCCACUCAAAGACUGUCAGGACUGAUGUCAAUUGUUAUCCCGAUCAAUGUGGGAAGAAAUAGACACUGCUGAAAGAAAAGACAGAAAUGCCUGUGGAGGUAUGUAGUAUUUCUGAAUAUCAGGAUUGUAAACACUGAAUUCUAAACUCAAAAUUAAAUUCCAAAACAUGAUGCCAUAAAAGGUUCAAUUGGAGUCUGAAAACCA